UGGGGAAUAUUGCACAAUGGAGGGAACUCUGAUGCAGCGACGCCGCGUGAACGAAGAAGGCUUUCGAGUCGUAAAUUUCUUUUAUAUGGUAAGAUAAUGACGGUACCAUAAGAAAAAGCCCCGGCUAACUACGUGCCAGCAGCCGCAGUAAUACGUAGGGGGCUCGCGUUGUCCGGAAUCACUGGGCGUAAAGGGUUCGCAGGCGGAAAUCCAAGUCAGGUGUAAAAGGCAGUAGCUUAACUACUGUAAGCAUUUGAAACUGCAUAUCUUGAGAAGAGUAGAGGUAAGUGGAAUUUUUAGUGUAGCGGUGAAAUGCGUAGAUAUUAAAAAGAAUACCGGUGGCGAAGGCGACUUACUGGGCUCAUUCUGACGCUGAGGAACGAAAGCGUGGGUAGCAAACAGG
rnacentral:rRNA from 1 species